rnacentral:SRP_RNA from 1 species
CGGCAAGUCCUACACAACUAGCUCCUAAUUAAUCCUCCAGAACGGGAACGUAGCAAAGGUAUUUAGUUGUAGCAGUGUGAUGUAGGUAGCUUGCCAUUU